rnacentral:rRNA from 1 species
CGUGUAGGCGGCCUCUUAAGUCUGGUGUGAAAGCCCGGGGCUUACCCCCGGAAGGGCACUGGAAACUGGGAGGCUGGAGUACCGGAGAGGAGGGUGGAAUUCCUGGUGUAGCGGUGAAAUGCGUAGAUAUCAGGAGGAACACCGGUGGCGAAGGCGGCCCUCUGGACGGAUACUGACGCUGAGACGCGAAAGCGUGGGGAGCAAACAGGAUUAGAUACCCUGGUAGUCCACGCUGUAAACGAUGGGCACUAGGUGUUCGGGGUAUUGACCCCCUGAGUGCCGCAGCUAACGCAUUAAGUGCCCCGCCUGGGGACUACGGCCGCAAGGUUAAA